AAAGGAAUAGAGGAGAAGAAGAGAAAAUAGAAUUCUAUUUUCUCUUCUUCUCCUCUAUUCCUUU
rnacentral:pre_miRNA from 1 species